rnacentral:lncRNA from 1 species
UUCUGGACCAAGAUAGGCAAAAAAAGGUCAAGGUUAAAAUUUUGAUACAAGCCGUCAAUGAUACUUCAAAAAUUUGUCAAGCAGCUUGGAGUCAACCGACACACCAUCUACCACUUUUGCAAGCGGUUGGAAAGUGCUUCUAACUUUAAAGAACACCUUCGAAAUGGUAGACACGUCAAGCUAAUUCCUUUCCUUCUAGCCAUUUUGGUUUUGUACAUGGAUUUGGUUCGAUAACUGGUAAAAUCUUACUGGCAUCUAUAAAUUAUCUUAUGUGCUCAAGAAGAAUGGUACGCUAGUACACCUACUCAAUUGUGACCAGACUUGGAACAAAAAAAUAUAAACUACUGGUCAAAAGGCUUAGAACCACCCUAAAGCAUGUAAUCAACCUACUCUACAACAACAUAUGUGUUGCAUACAAACAAUCUCAUCACGUGGGGAAAAAACCAAAACAAAGGAGUGUCAAACUUUCACGUCAAAACAUGAACUACUUAUUCAAACCUACACAGGUUAUGCACCAUUUUUGGCCUAUCUGAGGAAAUGGAAAAAUACAAGUGCAAUAUGUGUAUGGAAGAACCAGAAAGCGCAGACCACCUCAUUAACAGGUGACCAUCACGCUCAUAUGAGAAAUAUCAAGCCAUGCAAAAAGAGGGAGAAGAUUUUGUAUUUUUAAAUUUAUUAAAUGUACAAAAACCAAACAAAUUAUAAAUAAUAACUAUAAAAUUAAGUGAAACUUAAGAUAAUUUUGAUGUAGUAGCAGAUAUACCCCUUUGUAUGGUCGUGUUUUUGCCAAAUGUAUGCAUAGUUAUGAAAUGUAUUCAUAUCUGUACUAUUUUACAAUGUAUGUUUAACCUGUGGUAAACAGUAAUAAAUUCGUAACUGCCGGAA